rnacentral:rRNA from 1 species
AAGAAACCAACAGGGAUUGCCCUAGUAACGGCGAGUGAAGCGGCAACAGCUCAAAUUUGAAAUCUGGCCUCGGCCCGAGUUGUAAUUUGCAGAGGAAGCUUUAGGCGCGGCACCAUCUGAGUCCCCUGGAACGGGGCGCCAUAGAGGGUGAGAGCCCCGUAUAGUUGGAUGCCUAGCCUGUGUAAAGCUCCUUCGACGAGUCGAGUAGUUUGGGAAUGCUGCUCAAAAUGGGAGGUAAAUUUCUUCUAAAGCUAAAUACCGGCCAGAGACCGAUAGCGCACAAGUAGAGUGAUCGAAAGAUGAAAAGCACUUUGAAAAGAGGGUUAAAUAGCACGUGAAAUUGUUGAAAGGGAAGCGCUUGUGACCAGACUUGCGCCGGGCUGAUCAUCCGGUGUUCUCACCGGUGCACUCUGCCCGGCUCAGGCCAGCAUCGGUUCUCGCGGGGGGAUAAAGGCCCAGGGAACGUAGCUCCUCCGGGAGUGUUAUAGCCCUGGGUGUAAUGCCCUCGCGGGGACCGAGGUUCGCGCAUCUGCAAGGAUGCUGGCGUAAUGGUCA